GAUGAACGCUGGCGGCGUGCCUAAUACAUGCAAGUCGAGCGAACGGACGAGAAUCUUGCUUCUCUGAUGUUAGCGGCGGACGGGUGAGUAACACGUGGAUAACCUACCUAUAAGACUGGGAUAACUUCGGGAAACCGUAGCUAAUACCGGAUAAUAUUUUGAACCGCAUGGUUCAAAAGUGAAAGACGUUCUUGCUGUCACUUAUAGAUGUAUCCGCGCUGCAUUAGCUAGUUGGUAAGGUAACGGCUUACCAAGGCAACGAUGCAUAGCCGACCUGAGAGGGUGAUCGGCGACACUGGAACUGAGACACGGUCCAGACUCCGACGGGAGGCAGAAGUAGGGAAGCUUCCGAAAUGGGCGAAAGACUGACGGAGCAACGCAGCGUGAGUGAUGAAGGUCUGCGGAUCGUAAAACUCUGUUAUUAGGGAAGAACACAUGUGUAAGUAACUGUGCACAUCGUGACGGUACCUAAUCAGAAAGCCACGGCUAACUACGUG
rnacentral:rRNA from 1 species